UACGUAGGGCGCAAGCGUUGUCCGGAAUUAUUGGGCGUAAAGAGCUCGUAGGCGGUUUGUCGCGUCUGCUGUGAAAUCCCGAGGCUCAACCUCGGGCUUGCAGUGGGUACGGGCAGACUAGAGUGCGGUAGGGGAGACUGGAAUUCCUGGUGUAGCGGUGGAAUGCGCAGAUAUCAGGAGGAACACCGGUGGCGAAGGCGGGUCUCUGG
rnacentral:rRNA from 1 species